rnacentral:lncRNA from 1 species
GAUGGAGUCCAAGAACCACUCGCUGUGAGCCGAUGCUAGAACGUUGUUAACCAUAAUGUUGCCGGAUAGAGUGAGUGGGUUGUAGAGACCGAGCUUCUCAACCUUGGAGAUUUCUGGAAGUAUCAAAUUGUUAAUAGAAAUGGAAGUUCUUUCUUUCCUUACCAGUGAUUUGGGAUGAUUCCCAGAGUCCUCAGCUCUCUUGUACACGAGGUUUCCCUGAUGUCAACAGGAACAAAGUGGCCAGCAGUGGGCUCCAGCAUGUUUGAAGCGCUGUGCACUUGGAAAAACUCGGAAAUGGCGUCGGCAUCCUUGUGGCCGAAUGCAUACACAUCGGAGAAAGCAUUCUUGCCCAGCAACCUGCACAAUUUGUGCAUAUUUAUUAAAGUCCAAAGUCUAGCAAAUAUUUACUUUGUCCCCAACACUGAGCUCCUUCAUGAACUUAAAUUCCCCUGUAUACAGCUGAACAGUUGCAUCUACUGUGAUAGUUUGGAAGUUAGAUGGAGAAAUAUUUCUUGGAAGUCCCACCUGGGAAGCAUCCAGUGUUAUUCUGAUUAUUAGUUGCCACUGCAAUACUUGCAGCAAGGGCAAUAAAAGAGAAAAGGAAGAGGAUAGCUCUGGCUUGAGCCAUUUAGAACGAAACAUCACAAACUAAAAUUGAAGUUUGCAAUAACACUGUAAAACAGGUGUUAAAACAGUAGCAAAAAAAGCAUAUGAUAGACACGAAAUUUCAAACAGGACGUAUCAUUGAAAAUAUGCUCUAUCAUAUUGAACAAAUAGUUGGCUGGCUAAACAAGAAGAAAUCAGUUUUAACUUUUCAUUUACUUACAUGAACAUAACAUUGCGCCACGGAUCCAAUUUGUUCUAUACACAUAACAUGGAUUCCAAAUCCUCGUACGUUUCGUUCAACGCUUUGGUGAUUGCUGUUGAGCUUCAACGAGAACUUCUAUUCUCUGGAAAACAUGAAAAAGAUAGCACAAGAACAUGUGAUAUCAGAAGAAAACUUGCAUGCAAAUUAACCUUGAGAGAGUUUCUUAUGUCCUCAAGCUUCUCGAAGAGCUUCUCGCUGCUGUUGUCACUGUAGCUAUAGCCAGCUUCUUCUUUGAGAGGCAAAUAGCCCAUCUACAGAAAAAGAAGGAAAAAGAGUAUGCAUGAAUUUUUUAUACGCAAGUAUACUAACCUGCCAGGAAGACAAUCCAGUGCCUUGGCCCCAAGUCCAAGCACUCGAUUUGCUCAAGGAAGGCUGGACAGGAAGGUCUUCCACGUCGUGAUCAUUGAGACGAGGCAGAGGCUUCAAACUGGAAGCAACCAUCAGCACAACCUGAAAGAAUGUUUGGUUUUGCUUCUUCGUUUUUUCCUAGAAGAUAGUCCUUACUUUUCGGAAGAGCGUAGGAUUUGCCAGUCCUUGAAUCUGCACGUCGUCGCUCGGAGAAGGCUUGGAUCUCCCGGCAAUUUCGAUCCUUAGAGAUGAAAGGUUGAAAGCCGAUUGCAUGCAUCCUGCGAAGAAAGUGAACGGGAAUCACACUGUCUAAACCACGCACCGAGAACUUAGUUUGAAAGGUUUGAAAAAUCCAACAAGCCGGAAGCUCUAUCCUAGAAUGAAAGUAAAGAAGAAAAACGAAACCUUGCUCGAUGACAACGUCAGUCACGAGAGGUAGCAUCAGGCAUUUUUCCGUUCGAUUCACUCCAAAACAUGGAAACCAAGCUGGUCUCGAGACCUUAGAAACAAGCAAAUGAAAUUCAAGCUUAUAAGUCGUAAGAAAUAAUACCUUGUAGACAAUCGCAUUGUCGGUCACAUAGAGCUUUCGUGAUCUAAAAUCGCUCCUCAUGAUGGAUCUCCUCACGGGUAAGUAGAGAAGCAUAAAAAUUCCCGCUCCCCAAGCGAGAACUAGCAGCAGCGAGAUCAAGCACCAUUGGACAGAGUCGUAGUUCACAAAUCGGUCCUCCAUCUCCUCGAAUGAAGCCUUGUAAAUGAUCCUCCCGACCUGCGCGCUCUCCUCGUCGCCGUCCUGUACGGGAUCAUCGAGGAGCCGCGCCUCGCCCUGGAUUUCCUCCUGGAGCAGCCUGUCGAGCGUCCCCAUUCUCUCCAGAUUCCAAAAACCCUAAUAAGCAUAGAUAAAUUUCCACUGAACCCAUCGUGAUUCGAACACGCAACCUUCUGAUCUGGAGUCAGACGCGCUACCAUUGCGCCACGGAUCCAUUUUACUUUACUUUUAAAUGUAAAGAAUAUUCUCUUUUUAAUUGAAAGCCCUAAAAAUUACUAUUCUGAUCUGUAAACACAAAUUAGAAGGCCUUUUGUCAGUGAAGGAGAGGCAACCUGGAUAGAACACCAAGUCGGAAAAGAACGCUUUGCCAGUUUUCAGAAUGUCUUCCACAGUCCGUGUGAUCAUAUCCUUGCAAUGGAUCACAGGUUUACAGGCUCCCUGCCAUCGGAACAAGUCCCUCAAGAAAGAAAUAUCAUCGUCAGUGGAGUUCCCACCAAAGGACUCCCGAACUGUUAACCACAGGUGGAAAUCAAGUGCGUCCAAGUUACGUGGAUUGCUGUGGUCUACGAGCGCCUACAAGAAGAAGAAGAUUAGAGGGUAUCUAAGAAAUAGGAAACCACAAUGAGCCAAGUGUUUCACACACCUCUAACAAGCCGGAGUGGAAAUCGAUGAUUCGCAAGUUAACAUGGGCUCUAGAAGAAGGGAAAUGCUGUCCAGAUGGUGGAGGUGAAGGCCUGUAAUUGUGGGCAUGAGCUUGAAGAGGCUCACCAAUUUAUCGAGCUCCCAGUAUCCAGCAAUUUCCAAACUCUAGAGCUUGUCACAUUUCCUGUUGAGCUUAAAGCAGGUGUUGAUCUUCAGGACUUCCAGGCUCUCCGAUUUGAAACUGAGGCAGAGGUCAACCUUGAGGAUAGUCAACUGGGUGUCUAGGAAAAUUUCGAAAAUGGAUCCCUGCCAUAUCCCCAUUAUCCUCCCCAACAAGAGGCUGCCACUUGACACCGUGAACCUGGACAGAUGCUCAAGACCAUGGACGCUGAGAUCCUCAAGCAGCGGGCAAGCUGCGAGGAGCUCCUCGAGCACAUUCUCGUGGAUUGAAGAGCCGCAGGCGCCGGAGAGGCGAUUCAUUCACGCAACCUUCUGAUCUGGAGUCAGACGCGCUACCAUUGCGCCACGAAUCCAUUUUACUUGAACAUAUCCAAAACCAAUAUGGACGUGGUGAUCCGAAAUGAGCUCCGCGAUUACCAGGAGGAGGAGGAUUAUCAUGACUUGCCUCUGGAGCUGUGCUAAAAUCUGCAAGAGAAAGACCAUGCCUCGUGUGGUUUUCGAGCGAGGGGUGGUAUACUGGCUCGCCACGAGUACCGUAUCAGUGCUUGAUGCUCCACGCUAUUGGGCUUUUUCUACAUUUAUUAUUACAUCCCAGCUUAAUUAAUAACUUAGAAUAUAUUCAAAGGGAAGUGGCAGUGCUUACAUGGCUUUUGUAUCUUUCCACUUCUGUCUGCAUCCGUCCGACUGUGUUCUUUCUCGUUUUCUGACAGGCACUUCUUGACUAACACACUCCCAUUCGACUACAGCUUAUUCUUAUUCUUGUUAUGGAGACGGUGCAACACCUGAUAAGGUAAUGCAUCCAUCUGGAAGUGAGUUGGAGAUGCAAAUGUAAGAUUCCCCUAAACCCCAAAAUGGGCUUUUCUGGCAGCUCUCGAUCGUUUCAAACUAGCUGCACACACUGAUUUCUACAGGGUGCUUUGAGGCUCACCAGCACCACAUUUUCAAGCAAUUCAGCAAAGCAAUUUUAUUCUUGUCUACGCCUUCACAGAUGGGCUUUCUUGGUAGCAAACUCCACAAUUGUGCACCCUGUAGAAUCCCAGCUCCUCUUGCUCACUUUACUUUGCAGCCACUCAAAACCCUUGAGAAAUCUACUCCUUUGGUCUCAAGAAGGAGACACUGGUUAUAGAUUGCAAUUGAGGGUUUCCUCUGAGCAGCAAACACCCCCACGAAGAGCAGCAAGCGCUGCCAAAUCAUUGCCACAUAGGUGGAGAGGACGAUCUAAUUUGAAUAUUCUUCUUUUAACUGGGUGAAUUUCAACGAAGAACCCUAAAUAUUUUCCCACUAUGAUGCGAGCUAUGGUGUUUGAAGCUCCUGGAAGCGCUCUCAAGCUCACGGAGCUCCAGAUUCCAGAGUCUCGCGACGGCCAGGUCCGCGUCAAGGUCUCGGCGUGCGCUGUUUGCCGCACGGAUCUUCAUGUGGUAUGCGCCAGGCUUUGAUUUCCUUCCAAGAAUCGCCGCGCAGGGGAGCCCAAUCUUCCGAUAAUCCCUGGUCACGAAAUCGUGGGACUGGUGGAUAAGAUCGGGCGAGGCGUGGAUUCCUUGCUGUUUUCAAUUGGAGCUAGAGUGGGAAUUCCUUGGCCGGGAAGAACUUGCGGGAGCUGCAGCUACUGUGUGGAUGGAGCUGAGAAUUUGUGUGACGAGCCAGGCUUCACAGGUGAGAAAGCUUUCAAGUUCUUUAUUCUUCGUUUCCAGUUCUUCUUUGCAUGGAAAAAGAUUCUUUCUUGCAGGCUAUAGCCUAGACGAUCGAUGGUGGCUAUGCCGAGUACGCUGUUGCGAACAGUGCCUACUGCUUCUCCCUUCCGGAGAAUUACCCGGACGUGAAAGCCUCUCUCCACUCCUUCGCGCCGAUCUCAUCGGCUAUCGAUCGCUCAGGAUGGAUUCACGCCUGGAAUGCGCAAACCCCGCAAGUUUGGAAUCUAUGGAUUUGGAGCUGCUGCUCACAUCGCUGCUCAGGUACACCGAGCUCUUCCACCUCUCUCGAAUCGUACAAAAGCUUUGGAUCUUCCAGGUGUUGAGACACGAAGGCCAUGAAGUGUAUGGUUUCACUCGACCGGGUGACGUAGAGGCGCAAGCUUUUGCUCGAAAAGUUGGAGCCACUUGGUCGGGCGAUUCCACCGCGUCGCCGCCACAACUCUUGGACGCCGCCAUCAUCUUUGCUUCGGUGGGAUCGCUGGUACCGCUCGCUCUGGCAGCCAUUCGCAAGGGCGGGGUGGUGGUUUGCGGCGGGAUUUACAGUCUCCAUACGCGGCGAACUGGGGCGAGAGGAGAGCGGUGUCGGUCGAAUCUCACACGCUUGGAUGCCAACGAGUUCUUGCGAGUGGCUUCGAGCAUGGAGAUCAAAAUGGAGACAGUGGAGUUUAGAUUGGAGGAAGCCCUGCGAGCUUUGAGAGAAGGGAAGCUCAAUGGAGCAGCAGUUCUUGGUCCAGGGAUCUAGGUGAAAGUAACAAGUUGGGCAUUUGGUCUAGUGGUAUGAUUCUCGCUUAGGGUGCGAGAGGUCCCGAGUUCAAUUCUCGGAAUGCCCCAGCUAUGUGGUUUCAUGUUUUUGCUUUAAUUCAAAUUAAAUUCUAGUGGAUCAUUUAGCCAGUUCUUUACGGCUUUAAGUUGACAUGAUCUUUCUUAUUCUUUGUUAUUUGCCUUUGGGAUGUUUAGGCCUUGGAGGCCAGCACAAGUCCGGCGCCGGCGAUUCCAACCGUGAGAGCAAUGCUUCCUCCAUACUUGGUUCCAAACUCAGCAACGUUGGCGAUGGAAUCGAUGGCGCCAUAGCCCUUUGCAUAGAUCUCCUUGCCGACGAUGUUGUAGAUGGCACGAACUGGAGCAAGCAAGGCCUGGUAUGCGUAUGGGAGGUACUCGGUUGCGCCGACGGCAUCAAAGAUGGAGUCCAGGAACCACUCGCUGUGAGCUGAAGCUAGAACGUUGUUAACCAUGAUGUUGCCGGAGAGAGUGAGUGGGUUGUAGAGACCCAGCUUCUCAACCUUUGAGAUUUCUGUGGAAUGUAAACAAGUGUCAAAAAAGUAAAAUGAUAUCAUGAAAUUUGUACCCGUGAUUUGAGAUGAUUCCCACAGAGAAUCUCCAACCUUGAGAUCCUCAGCUCUCUUGUACACGAGCUUUCCAUUGACAUCAACAGGAACAAAGUGGCCUGCAGUGAGUUCCAA